AGUUUUCAUCAGUAAAGAGAACACCCACAAUGAUGAGAUCAUGGUGCCAACAAAGCAAAAUAGCCUUCGAAGAGACUCAUGCAAUGUAACUCCUAACUCAUAAAGGGUCUGUGACUUACACUGAGGGAAGGAGUGCCAACACCUAGAAGUUUUGGCAAGCCAGGACUAAACCCAGGACUGUGACUUAAAAGGUAGAACAAUUCCAAGAUCCUAUAGAAUGACAAAGAAGAUGUGCCCCAUUGUUUGAUCAAUUUCAAUUAAAUAAGGAUUGA
rnacentral:lncRNA from 1 species